rnacentral:rRNA from 1 species
AUUGAACGCUGGCGGCAGGCCUAACACAUGCAAGUCGAACGAGUGGCGGACGGGUGAGUAAUGUCUGGGAAACUGCCUGAUGGAGGGGGAUAAUUACUGGAAACGGUAGCUAAUACCGCAUACCAUCAGAUGUGCCCAGAUGGGCUUAGCUUGUUGGUGGGGUAACGGCUCACCAAGGCGACGAUACCUAGCUGGUCUGAGAGGAUGACCAGCCACACUGGAACUGAUACACGGUCCAGACUCCUACGACAGGCAGCAGUGGGAAAUAUUGCAGAAUGGGCGAAAGCCUGAUGCAGCCAUGCCGCGGGUAUGAAGAAGGCCUUCGGGUUGUAAAUUACGUUCAGCAGGGAGGCGUUACCCGCAGAAGAAGCACCGGCUAACUCCGUGCCAGCAGCCGCGGUAAUAC